GAAAUCAGAAUUCUGUGCUGCUUACGUAGCUUCAACUGAUGAGGCAGAAAAGAAAAAAACGAGCAAAAUGAGGACUCAAAAGUCUGCACGGCCCUGGUCCAUGAUUGAUCCAGCAUAUGCAAGGUGAAUUUUCAUAACGUAUAGCAGAGUAGCUGCCACAGCACUGAGAGCGGAAUAGAGACACAACACAGUGAGCAGAACAGGAAAAUGUUGGAAUUCUGGCUCAAUCAUGGUAGGCAAACUUCACCAAAGAACUUGGUCACUUAGCUGAGACUUCAGAAAGAAUAAGUGGUCAGAACUGUACUCUAUAGUAAAUAAUAUGCUCUAAGACCAAGAGAAAAUAAAAAAUACAUCAGCUGUAACAAAUAAUAAAUUAAACCUAAAAUGAUCAAGAAGAUCUGCUAUUAAUUAAGCUGCCUGCGAGAAGAAAAUUCAACACUAUUAAAUAGUUGAAGAAAGUAAUAGAAAAGGAAAGACUCCAUGAGAACACACCUAAGCACAGGGAGGAAAAUGGUUCAGGGUAUGAGUCUCAGGGAAGACGUUCAAUGCAAAUUCCUCACUCUAAGAAGUCAAUUCAUCACAUAUUAGGCAAAAUGAAACAAAGAGCCAUGGUCGUUCAGAAGGUGAUUUGUUCGCUGGAGCAGAACAAUGAAGGAUUCAAAGAUGAGACUGUUCUCCAUUCUUAAGAAUACAAGCACAGGG